CCAUCAUUCAUUUGGGCACUCUAGCGAGACUGCCGGUAUAAACCGGAGAAGGUGGGGAUGACGUCAAAUCAUCAUGCCCCUUAUGACCUGGGCUACACACGUGCUACAAUGGUUGGUACAACGAGUUGCGGGUCGGUGACGGCGAGCUAAUCUCUUAAAGCCAAUCUCAGUUCGGAUUGUAGGCUGCAACUCGCCUACAUGAAGUCGGAAUCGCUAGUAAUCGCGGAUCAGCACGCCGCGGUCGAAUACGUUCCCGGGCCUU
rnacentral:rRNA from 1 species